GGAGGAAAAGAAACCAACAGGGAUUGCCUCAGUAACGGCGAGUGAAGCGGCACCAGCUCAAAUUUGAAAUCCGGCCCCGGCGGGGCCCGAGUUGUAAUUUGCAGAGGGAGCUUCGGGCGCGGCGCCGGUCUAAGUUCCUUGGAACAGGACGUCAUAGAGGGUGAGAAUCCCGUAUGCGAUCGGCCGCCCACCCCGGGUGAAGCCCCUUCGACGAGUCGAGUUGUUUGGGAAUGCAGCUCCAAAUGGGUGGUAAAUUUCAUCUAAAGCUAAAUACCGGCCGGAGACCGAUAGCGCACAAGUAGAGUGAUCGAAAGAUGAAAAGCACUUUGGAAAGAGAGUUAAACAGCACGUGAAAUUGUUGAAAGGGAAGCGCUUGCCGCCAGACCUGCCCGCGGGCGCUCACCCGCCAUUCGUGGCGGGGCACUCGCCCGCGAUCAGGCCAGCACGGGUUCGGGCGGCGGGAGAAAGGGCCCGGGAAUGUAGCUCCCUCCGGGGUGCCUUAUAGCCCGGGCCGCCAUGCCGCCCGCCCGGACCGAGGACCGCGCUUCGGCUAGGGUGCUGGCGUAAUGGCGGCAAGCGACCCGUCUUGAAACACGGACCAAGGAGUCUAACAUCUACGCGAGUGUUUGGGCGUCAAACCCCGGCGCGGAAUGAAAGUGAACGGAGGUGGGAGCCCCUCGCGGGGCGCACCAUCGACCGAUCCAGAUGUCUUCGGAUGGAUUUGAGUACGAGCGUAGCUGUUGGGACCCGAAAGAUGGUGAACUAUGCCUGAAUAGGGUGAAGCCAGAGGAAACUCUGGUGGAGGCUCGCAGCGGUUCUGACGUGCAAAUCGAUCGUCAAAUUUGGGCAUAGGGGCGAAAGACUAAUCGAACCAU
rnacentral:rRNA from 1 species